UUACAAUGGCAGGUACANAGGGCAGCUACCCAGCAAUGGGAUGCGAAUCUCGAAAGCCUGUCUCAGUUCGGAUUGGAGGCUGAAACCCGCCUCCAUGAAGUUGGAUUCGCUAGUAAUCGCGCAUCAGCCACGGCGCGGUGAAUACGUUCCCGGGCCUUGUACACACCGCCCGUCAAGCCAUGGGAGCCGGGGGUACCUGAAGUGCGUGACCGCAAGGAGCGCCCUAAGGUAAAACCGGUGACUGGGGCUAAGUCGUAACAAGGUAAC
rnacentral:rRNA from 1 species